rnacentral:rRNA from 1 species
CCUACGGGUGGCAGCAGUGGGGAAUAUUGCGCAAUGGGCGAAAGCCUGACGCAGCGACGCCGCGUGAGGGAUGAAGGUCUUCGGAUCGUAAACCUCUGUCAGCAGGGAAGAACGGUCACUGUGCUAAUCAGCAGUGAAUUGACGGUACCUGCAACGGAAGCACCGGCUAACUCCGUGCCAGCAGCCGCGGUAAUAAGGAGGGUGCGAGCGUUAAUCGGCAUUACUUGGCGGAAAGCGCUCGUAGGCGGUAGUUCAAGUCAAGGGUGAAAUCCGCGCGCUCAACGUGGGAUCUGCCUUUGAAACGGGCAAACUGGAGUGUGUGAGAGGAUAGUGGAAUUCCAGGGGGAGGAGUGAAAGCCGUAGAGAUCUGGAGGAACAUCAGUGGCGAAGGCGACUAUCUGGCACAUAACUGACGCUGAGGAGCGAAAGCGUGGGUAGCAAACAGGAUUAGAUACCCGGGUAGUC